rnacentral:rRNA from 1 species
AGUGAACGCUGGCGGUAGGCCUAACACAUGCAAGUCGAACGGCAGCACAGUAAGAGCUUGCUCUUACGGGUGGCGAGUGGCGGACGGGUGAGGAAUACAUCGGCAUCUACUUUUUCGUGGGGGAUAACGUAGGGAAACUUACGCUAAUACCGCAUACGACCUACGGGUGAAAGCAGGGGAUCUUCGGACCUUGCGCGAUUGAAUGAGCCGAUGUCGGAUUAGCUAGUUGGCGGGGUAAAGGCCCACCAAGGCGACGAUCCGUAGCUGGUCUGAGAGGAUGAUCAGCCACACUGGAACUGAGACACGGUCCAGACUCCUACGGGAGGCAGCAGUGGGGAAUCUUGGACAAUGGGCGCAAGCCUGAUCCAGCCAUACCGCGUGGGUGAAGAAGGCCUUCGGGUUGUAAAGCCCUUUUGUUGGGAAAGAAAAGCAGCAGGUUAAUACCCCGCUGUUCUGACGGUACCCAAAGAAUAAGCCCCGGCUAACUUCGUG